rnacentral:rRNA from 1 species
GUACACGCUGUGACUAGCAUAUCAAUAAGCGGAGGAAAAGAAACUAACAAGGAUUCCCCUAGUAACGGCGAGUGAAGCGGGAAGAGCUCAAAUUCGAAAUCUUAAAGGGUUUCCCUUUACGAAUUGUAGUUUAAAGAAGUGUUUUCUGUUGAGGUUUUGGUAAAAGUUCUUUGGAAUAGGACAUCAUAGAGGGUGAGAAUCCCGUAUUUGACCUUUACUUUCAACUUUGUGAUACACUUUCAAAGAGUCGGAUUGUUUGGGAAUGCAGUCCAAAAUGGGUGGUAAAUUUCAUCUAAAGCUAAAUAUUGGCGAGAGACCGAUAGCGAACAAGUACCGUGAGGGAAAGAUGAAAAGAACUUUGAAAAGAGAGUUAAACAGUACGUGAAAUUGUCAAAAGGGAAGCGUUUGACACCAGUGUUGUUUUUCUGAAAAUCAAUUAAAGAACUGUUUAUGCUAAGCUGUUUAGACUUUAUCAGCUAUCUGUUUAGUUUUGAGCUUUUCUUUAAUGCACUUUUCAGUUAACAAGUCAACAUCAAUUUCUUUUGCUGUAAAAAAGCUUGAGGAAGGUGGCUUGAGAUUCGUCUUAAGUGUUUAUAGCCUCUUGUCCUACGCAGUCGGAGAGAUUGAGGUCUGCAGCGUAGGAUCCUUCGGGGCUAAAUGCAUUUGUGCUAAGUUAUAGCAUUUUAUAGACAACUUGUUGACUAUGAUUUGUCUUGUAGCUUACUCGCUUAUGUUAUUUUACCUACGCUUAGGAUGUUGACUGAUAUGUAGUCGUA